rnacentral:tRNA from 2 species
UAGUGCUUAGUUGGUUAGUCAAACUGACUUGCUUUGCAAGCAAGCUAUUAUGUACGGCC